UGUGAAUUCCAUUUUUACGGUUUUGUCAUCAUGAAAUUUUCAGUGUGCUUCUUAGAAAAGAGCACACAGUUUCUUUGUGGAAUCGUGUGGUCCUGGCACGGAUAUUCUUGAGCCAACGCUGGUGUUUGUCCAUGACCAACGUUCUGCUCCAUCCUUAUCUUC